AUUGAACGCUGGCGGCAGGCCUAACACAUGCAAGUCGAACGAGUGGCGGACGGGUGAGUAAUGUCUGGGAAACUGCCCGAUGGAGGGGGAUAACUACUGGAAACGGUAGCUAAUACCGCAUACCAUCGGAUGUGCCCAGAUGGGAUUAGCUUGUAGGUGAGGUAACGGCUAACCUAGGCGACGAUCCAUACCUGGUCUGAGAGGAUGACCAGCCGAACGGGGACUAGAACAAGGUCGAGACACGUACGAGAGUCACCAGUGGGGAAUAUGGCACAAAGGGCGCAAGACUGAUGCAGCGCUGCCGGGUGUAGGAGGAAGGACUAAGAGUUGUAAAGUACUUUCAGCGGGAAGGCGUUACCCGCAGAAGAAGCACCGGCUAACUCCGUGCCAGCAGCCGCGGUAAUAC
rnacentral:rRNA from 1 species